AGAAACCCAAAAGAUCGAAUGGGGAGAUUCAUCGUCAGCUCAUUUUGUAUAUGUUUAAGUUACGAUGCGGGUUACUACUUGUAGUAUUGCCUGCACGCUUCUUGUAUAUUUAGUUGCAAGAUGUUGUCGGCGUGCACUUCUUCCCUAGUAGGACGUCGCGACCCGUUGGGUGUCGGUCUACGGCCCAAGUGAUAGCCUUUAAUGUAAUUAAAAAUCAUUGAAGAUCCUUGGUGUUGGCGGUAUUCGCACGGUAUUUAGCCGCUAAUUUAUUAGCGUCCAUGUCCGUCACAAGCGAGGCUAAUUUACUGAUAGUGCGGACCUAGUGCCGUCGUUGGUAUUGGCCAGCUGUUGGUUGUACGUGAUUCUGGGACUGGCUAAAAUUAAUUACCGGUCGGCGAUGCUAUCGC
rnacentral:rRNA from 1 species